GCUCUUCAAAUUCCGGGUGGAAGGGCUUAUAUCUAGCGCGUCGGGCAACCGACUAUGACGCUAUACGAUGUCGUGGAAUAAGCGCAGCGGACCCGGGGGCAGUACCCGGCGCCUCCACCAUUACCGCCGCCGGAAGGGACACCUUCCGCGCGGCGCGCCAUGGGGGCGAACCAGGAUCGACGCGCGUGGUAAAGACGGGGUCGGCGUUCGGCAUGGUACCACCGUUAUCGGGCCAUUCGCUUAGAUGCGAACGACAACGAUGAGAUGGUCGCCGUCGCCGCGUAAUGCGGUCAAAGCGACGUUCUAUCGCAAUUCCUAGCCGGUUCAUCGCCGGUUAGGUGGGGCUCGGGCGCCGCCUAGCAACAGAAGGCGCCCAUA
rnacentral:tmRNA from 1 species